GCACUCAUCUUCUCCACAAAGUGAACUAAAGAAAGAGGGAGAGAGCUACACGGCCAUGGACAUGGCAGUAGCUUCAGGAAGCUCACGGCUAGCUCCUCUUCUUCCCCCCUUCUACACAAUUAAGUUGAUGAUUUCCAAGUCCAAUUAGAGGAAGAAAACAAGGAUUACAACAGUUAUGACAACUCACGGCCAUGGCAGAUUUUUUUUGGAACAACUUAAGCUUCUAAAGUGUCCUAAUUUAAUUUGAGACCUUGGGGAGCCCGAGGCGUAGAUUUGGAUUAGCUUUAGAUUGGCUAUCUUGGAAGUGCGUUCGAGGUACAGACGCACAGUUUGGUGAUCCUUCCGUUUAGGACAUCCCCUUCUGCUGUUUCGAGUGCUCUUCUCAUUCCAGAGCAUACAUUUUGGUAUAUAUUUGUUCGCUAUGUAUAUGUGUAUUUGUUCAGGGGUACGGCGGGGCCCUGUCCCGCCAUAUGAUUCGUUUGGUCUGUUUAGAGGUCUGUAGACGUAUUUGUGGGUGUGUGUGCCUGCUUCUGUACAGAUGUGUGUAUAUGUCCCUAUUCGCUAUGGCAGCCUCGUCGGCUUGCAUUUUGUAUAUGUAUAUGGCAGCCUUGUCGGCGUGCGUUUGUAUAUGUGUUUUGGGCCGUUGUGCCAUUUGACAGCCUUGCCGGCUUUUUGAUAUAUGUCUAUGUAUAUGUUGCGCUGAAAUGUGUCUGAUGCAGUUUGAUAUAGUUUGAGACGACAUAUAGCAGUUAUAGCCAUAUAUGCUAUCUGUUUGUGAUUCGAUUUGGAUAAGUGUGUUACGAUUUGAUAUGUUUGUCUGUCUGGGUGUCCAAGUAGGGCACCAGUUGCGGCCCACGGGGCUGGGU